rnacentral:rRNA from 1 species
AGGACGAACGCUGGCGGCGUGCUUAACACAUGCAAGUCGAGCGGUAAGGCCCUUUCGGGGGUACACGAGCGGCGAACGGGUGAGUAACACGUGGGUGACCUGCCCCUUACUCUGGGAUAAGCCUGGGAAACUGGGUCUAAUACCGGAUAUGACUUCAUGCUGCAUGGUGUGGGGUUGAAAGUUUUUUCGGUGGGGGAUGGGCCCGCGGCCUAUCAGCUUGUUGGUGGGGUGAUGGCCUACCAAGGCUUCGACGGGUA